CCUAGCUGUGUUGGCUUUCUAACCCGCACCACUUAUCGUGGUGGGAGACAGUGUCAGGCGGGCAGUUUGACUGGGGCGGUCGCCUCCUAAAAGGGAACGGAGGCGCUCAAAGGGUCCCUCAGAAUGGGUGGAAAUCAUUCAUAGAGUGUAAAGGCAUAAGGGAGCUUGACUGCGAGACCUACAAGUCGAGCAGGGUCGAAAGACGGACUUAGUGAUCCGGUG
rnacentral:rRNA from 1 species